AUCAUAAAUAAUUUGAGAAGAUAGAUAAUAAGGAAACUAGUUAUGAAACAAUUAAAAUAAUCCAACAGAAAAGAAUGAACAUGGUGACAGUGAGACCGGAAAAUUAUGACAGCAAAACCACUCACUUAUGAAUUGAUAGCAGCAUCAGAAUAUGCUUUCUUACUCAUAUGGUGUAAAAACUUUCACCCCCCCCAACCAUCUCUCCCACCUUGAACAAAAUGAUAAUUAUUUCUAACUUAUUCUGACAAUUUGAAAAAGAGGAUCUACUAGGCCACGCAUGGUGGCUCACGCCUGCAAUCACAGCACUUUGGGAGGCUGAUGUAGGCAGAUCACCUGAGGUCAGGAGUUCAAGAACAGGCUGGCCACCAUGGUGAAAACCUGUCUCUACUAAAAGUACAAAAUUAGCCAGGCAUGGUGGCACAUGCCUGUAAUCCCAGCUACUCAGGAGGCUGAGGCGGGAGAAUUGCUUGAAACAGGGAGGCAGAGAUUGCAAUAAGCCGAGAUCACGCCACUGCACUCCAGCCUGGGUGAUGAGUAAAACUCC
rnacentral:antisense_RNA from 1 species